CUAGAUUUGCUUGGAGAUUCAUGUUGGUCUGGACAAGCCUGUUCCAGACUAAUUGCUUUGCGACCUCUGUGCAAAUAAGUUUUCCCUGCUAAAUAAGUAAAAAAGAAGACCUCCUUUAUCAAGACCUCCUUUAUCAAGACCUCCUUUAUCAAGACUUCCCACAUCAAGACUUCCCACAUCAAGACUUGGCGACCUUUUAUGUGUUUGGCGACCUCUUAUGUGUUUGGCGACCUCAAACUCUUGGCGACCUCUUAUGUUCUUGGCGACCUCAUAUUCUUGGCGACCUCUUAUGUUCUUGGCGACCUCAAUUGUAGCUUGGCGACCUCAUAGUCUUGGCGACCUCAAUUGUAGCUUGGCGACCUUAUAGUCUUGGCGACCUCAAUUGUAGCUUGGCGACCUCAUAGUCUUGGCGACCUCUUAUUCUGAAUUAUCAUUCUGCAUAACCAUUGAUAUAAAUCAGUUUUCAGUAAUAUAAAGUUACAACAGAACAUUUCUCAUUGCUAUUGAUAUUGAUAUUGUCUGUGUGUGACAGUGUGACAUACAUCUGAACAGUGCUACAUCUAUUCUGAAGUUAAGAAGUUCACUACAUUUUGAAGUAGACAUUAAGUCAACAUUCUGUUUAUCAUUGAUGAUCAAGUACUGAAGUGUACAUUGACCUAGCUACUGUUGAGUGUAUUCUGAUUGUAUUUUUUCAUAAUUGUGUCCAGAUCACCAUUCAUUUUUUACCCAAGUCCAGGUAUUCAUUGUGACCAUAAAAUAAUCUUGGGAAGCCAUAAAACCUUAAGUUAUAUUUGACU